rnacentral:rRNA from 1 species
UACGGAGGGUGCAAGCGUUGCUCGGAAUUACUGGGCGUAAAGGGCGUGUAGGCGGUUUCGUAUGUCUGGCGUGAAAGCCCCGGGCUCACCUCGGGAAGUGCGUCGGAAACUGCGAGACUAGAGUGUGUGAGAGGGGGGUAGAAUUCCAAGUGUAGCGGUGAAAUGCGUAGAGAUUUGGAGGAAUACUAGUGGCGAAGGCGGCCCCUGGCACAACACUGACGCUCAGGUGCGAAAGCGUGGGGAGCAAACAGGAUUAGAUACCCGGGUAGU